UGGAGAACGACACCCGCCAGCGAGU
rnacentral:misc_RNA from 1 species